rnacentral:rRNA from 1 species
UACGAACUGUGCGAACGUUAUUCGGAAUCACUGGGCUUACAGGGUGCGUAGGCUGCUGUGCCAGUCAGGUGUGAAAGCCCCCGGCUCAACCGGGGAACAGCGCUUGAAACUGCACAGCUUGAGUGAGCUAGAGGCAUGCGGAACUUCCGGUGGAGCGGUGAAAUGUGUUGAUAUCGGAAGGAACACCAGAGGCGAAGGCGGCAUGCUGGGGCUUGACUGACGCUGAGGCACAAAAGCCAGGGGAGCAAACGGG